GAGGAAACCGGUGUGAUUCCGGUGCGGUCCCGCCACUGUGAUCGGGGAGCGACUCCCGUCGAGGCCACGGCCCCGCCUCGGGGUUGGAAGGCCGGGGGAAGUGUCGAUCCGAGAGCCAGGAGACUC
rnacentral:ncRNA from 2 species